rnacentral:rRNA from 1 species
UACGAAGGGGGCUAGCGUUGUUCGGAAUUACUGGGCGUAAAGGGCUCGUAGGCGGCCAACUAAGUCGGACGUGAAAUCCCCAGGCUCAACCUGGGAACUGCGUCCGAUACUGGAUGGCUUGAAUCCGGGAGAGGGAUGCAGAAUUCCAGGUGUAGCGGUGAAAUGCGUAGAUAUCUGGAGGAACACCGGUGGCGAAGGCGGCAUCCUGGACCGGCAUUGACGCUGAGGCGCGAAAGCUAGGGGAGCAAACGGGG